CGGACGGGUGAGUAACGCGUGAGAAUCUGCCUUUAGGACGGGGACAACAGUUGGAAACGGCUGCUAAAACCCGAUGUGCCCUUCGGGGUGAAAUAUUUAUAGCCUGAAGAUGAGCUCGCGUCUGAUUAGCUAGUAGGUGCGGUAAUGGCGCACCUAGGCGACGAUCAGUAACUGGUCUGAGAGGAUGACCAGUCACACUGGGACUGAGAUACGGCCCCA
rnacentral:rRNA from 1 species